UACGGAGGGUGCAAGCGUUAAUCGGAAUUACUGGGCGUAAAGCGUGCGUAGACGGUUGCGUAAGUCAGAUGUGAAAGCCCCGGGCUCAACCUGGGAAUUGCAUUUGAGACUGCGUAGCUAGGGUGCGGAAGAGGGAAGCGGAAUUUCCGGUGUAGCGGUGAAAUGCGUAGAUAUCGGAAGGAACACCAGUGGCGAAAGCGGCUUCCUGGUCCAGCACCGACGUUCAGGCACGAAAGCGUGGGGAGCAAACGGG
rnacentral:rRNA from 1 species